rnacentral:rRNA from 1 species
GACGAACGCUGGCGGCGCGCCUAACACAUGCAAGUCGAACGGAGCUGAGGGAAGCUUGCUUUUCUUAGCUUAGUGGCGAACGGGUGAGUAACGCGUGAGUAACCUGCCCUGGAGUGGGGGACAACAGUUGGAAACGACUGCUAAUACCGCAUAAGCCCACGAUCCGGCAUCGGAUUGAGGGAAAAGGAUUUAUUCGCUUCAGGAUGGACUCGCGUCCAAUUAGCUAGUUGGUGAGGUAACGGCCCACCAAGGCGACGAUUGGUAGCCGGACUGAGAGGUUGAACGGUCACAUUGGGACUGAGACACGGCCCAGACUCCUACGGGAGGCAGCAGUGGGGGAUAUUGCACAAUGGGGGAAACCCUGAUGCAGCGACGCCGCGUGGAGGAAGAAGGUUUUCGGAUUGUAAACUCCUGUCGUUAGGGACGAUAAUGACGGUACCUAACAAGAAAGCACCGGCUAACUACGUG